AAGUGCUUUCAUAUUUUAGUGA
rnacentral:miRNA from 1 species